GAGGAUAUAGCUUAGCUGGUAGAGUGCUUGCCUCCCAUGCAUAAGGCCUUGGGUUCAAUCCCCAGCACCCCA
rnacentral:tRNA from 1 species